rnacentral:piRNA from 2 species
UGGAAUUUUUCGCUGGCUUGAUCUUAUG